ACUCCUACGGGAGGCAGCAGUGAGGAAUAUUGGUCAAUGGGCGGAAGCCUGAACCAGCCAAGUAGCGUGCAGGAUGACGGCCCUAUGGGUUGUAAACUGCUUUUGAAGGGGAGUAAAGUGAGUGACUUGUCAUUCAUUGCAAGUACCCUUGGAAUAAGGACCGGCUAAUUCCGUGCCAGCAGCCGCGGUAAU
rnacentral:rRNA from 1 species